rnacentral:pre_miRNA from 1 species
GAGCCAGUGCUAUGUGGAAGACUUGUGAUUUUGUUGUUCUGAUGUGGAAUGACAACAAGUCACAGCCGGCCUCAUAGCGUGGACUC